GUGGCCAUGGAGUAAAGGUAACUCAUGGGACUCAUAAUCCUAAGUUGGCGGUUCGAUUCCGUCUGGCCACA
rfam:Hyaloperonospora arabidopsidis Emoy2 Contig716.0, whole genome shotgun sequence.